UAAAUUAAAUUACAGGUCACAAAUCAAUUUCUUUGAAUAUCUUAGUCGGUAUCGCAACGUUUGAUCCAGGAACCAGCUGCCUUUUACUUCAAGGGGAAUGAUGGACAGGAGGAACUGGAUUGGCAACUCAUGCUCACACGCUCUUGAUCAGCCUCCGAUCUACUCUCAACAUUCCCAAAAGACUAUUACCUUUGGGGGAAGCAGAGAAGGAAGUCGCUUGUUUCCUUGUGAGGUCGGCAGCUCGGAGUUGUUCAGCUGAAGCCGUGCGCUGGGCGCUGCGUGCAAGUGUCCGGCAAGGUGCAGGUGCAAGUGUCCGGCAAGGUGCAGGUGCAAGUGUCCGGCAAGGUGCAGGUGCAAGUGUCCGGCA